rnacentral:tRNA from 1 species
ACGGGAGUAGCUUAACAAGGCUAAAGCGCUAAGUUUGGGACUUAGAGGAUGCAGGUUCGAUUCCUGUCACCCGUA